GGGGCUUCAGCACGGGGCAGGACUGGGCUAUGGCCGGGGGCCCUGACUCCCCGACCCUCGCGGCUCCCGUGGUCCCGGGGCUUCGGGUCGAGCGUAGUGCCUCUCAUUGCUAGCUAUCCCCUCACGCCUUGGAUGCCGCCUGCGAAGCCCGGUCCCACAGGCCUUCACUAACAGGCAGGAGGGCGGCGAGGUGGCAAGCCCGGGGCCAGGUGGGAACGACGAGACUGCCCGGUGUUGCCCCGCGUCACGCUGUCUCGAGAUUCGGCCCCGCCUGUGGGCUGUAGGACAGACGACGUAGGUAGAAGUCCUGAGAGGAUCUCGAAAGUUCUGAUUUAGGACCCGCAAAGGCCUUGAACUUGCUGAGGAGUAACAUACUGUGGAAAGAAUAUCAAAAACAAAUUGGCGCUUAAAGUUCUUAGAGCGAUGUUUUCUACCUGAGGGCCAGGCCCCAGGUAAAACAGGAAAUGAGAAUUUUAAGAGAUGACCAGUGAAGAUUGGAAUUGAAAUUGCCCUGUCCCUCUGUGGCUGAAAUCAGAGACCCUACCCAACCCUGCCCACUUUCUGCUACUUCAGGGCGGGAGGCACCUCUGUGUGAGACGGAUGAAAACUCCAGCUAUGGGGCGACAGCAGGAAAAUCUACCCUGCAGGACAACUUGGCAUUACACAGUUGCUCAGCAAACAAAAGGCUAAGAUGAUUUCAAAGGGAGGAUGGUCAGCUCAAGGCCCAUACAGGAAUGGGCCAGGAAGCAGAAAGGCCAUAGGCCAGCAGGGCCGUUUCUUCAGCAAGCUGGGUUGGCUCUGAAGGAUAGACAGCUCUGCAGGAUGGAAUGUGCCCUGCCACAGUUUUUGUCAUACAUAGGCAAAGGUCUUACUGAUAAUUUGGAG
ensembl:lncRNA